rnacentral:rRNA from 1 species
UACGAAGGGGGCUAGCGUUGCUCGGAAUCACUGGGCGUAAAGGGCGCGUAGGCGGCGUUUUAAGUCGGGGGUGAAAGCCUGUGGCUCAACCACAGAAUGGCCUCGAUACUGGGACGCUUGAGUAUGGUAGAGGUUGGUGGAACUGCGAGUGUAGAGGUGAAAUUCGUAGAUAUUCGCAAGAACACCGGUGGCGAAGGCGGCCAACUGGACCAUUACUGACGCUGAGGCGCGAAAGCGUGGGUAGCAAACAGG